rnacentral:rRNA from 1 species
GGUUAAGCGACUAAGCGUACACGGUGGAUGCCCUGGCAGUCAGAGGCGAUGAAGGACGUGCUAAUCUGCGAAAAGCGUCGGUAAGGUGAUAUGAACCGUUAUAACCGGCGAUGUCCGAAUGGGGAAACCCAGUGCAAUUCGUUGCACUAUCGUUAACUGAAUACAUAGGUUAACGAGGCGAACCGGGGGAACUGAAACAUCUAAGUACCCCGAGGAAAAGAAAUCAACCGAGAUUCCCCCAGUAGCGGCGAGCGAACGGGGAGCAGCCCAGAGUCUGAAUCAGCUUGUGUGUUAGUGGAACGGUCUGGAAAGUCCGACGGUACAGGGUGAUAGUCCCGUACACCAAAAUGCACAGGUUGUGAACUCGAAGAGUAGGGCGGGACACGUGGUAUCCUGUCUGAAUAUGGGGGGACCAUCCUCCAAGGCUAAAUACUCCUGACUGACCGAUAGUGAACCAGUACCGUGAGGGAAAGGCGAAAAGAACCCCGGCGAGGGGAGUGAAAAAGAACCUGAAACCGUGUACGUACAAGCAGUGGGAGCACCUUCGGGUGUGACUGCGUACCUUUUGUAUAAUGGGUCAGCGACUUAUAUUCUGUAGCAAGGUUAACCGUAUAGGGGAGCCGCAGGGAAACCGAGUCUUAACUGGGCGUUAAGUUGCAGGGUAUAGACCCGAAACCCGGUGAUCUAGCCAUGGGCAGGUUGAAGGUUGGGUAACACUAACUGGAGGACCGAACCGACUAAUGUUGAAAAAUUAGCGGAUGACUUGUGGCUGGGGGUGAAAGGCCAAUCAAACCGGGAGAUAGCUGGUUCUCCCCGAAAGCUAUUUAGGUAGCGCCUCGUGAAUUCAUCUUCGGGGGUAGAGCACUGUUUCGGCUAGGGGGUCAUCCCGACUUACCAACCCGAUGCAAACUACGAAUACCGAAGAAUGUUAUCACGGGAGACACACGGCGGGUGCUAACGUCCGUCGUGAAGAGGGAAACAACCCAGACCGCCAGCUAAGGUCCCAAAGUCAUGGUUAAGUGGGAAACGAUGUGGGAAGGCACAGACAGCCAGGAUGUUGGCUUAGAAGCAGCCAUCAUUUAAAGAAAGCGUAAUAGCUCACUGGUCGAGUCGGCCUGCGCGGAAGAUGUAACGGGGCUAAACCAUGCACCGAAGCUGCGGCAGCGACACUAUGUGUUGUUGGGUAGGGGAGCGUUCUGUAAGCCUGCGAAGGUGUGCUGUGAGGCAUGCUGGAGGUAUCAGAAGUGCGAAUGCUGACAUAAGUAACGAUAAAGCGGGUGAAAAGCCCGCUCGCCGGAAGACCAAGGGUUCCUGUCCAACGUUAAUCGGGGCAGGGUGAGUCGACCCCUAAGGCGAGGCCGAAAGGCGUAGUCGAUGGGAAACAGGUUAAUAUUCCUGUACUUGGUGUUACUGCGAAGGGGGGACGGAGAAGGCUAUGUUAGCCGGGCGACGGUUGUCCCGGUUUAAGCAUGUAGGCUGAUUGUCCAGGCAAAUCCGGAUAAUCAAGGCUGAGGUGUGAUGACGAGGCACUACGGUGCUGAAGUAACAAAUGCCCUGCUUCCAGGAAAAGCCUCUAAGCAUCAGGUAACAUCAAAUCGUACCCCAAACCGACACAGGUGGUCAGGUAGAGAAUACCAAGGCGCUUGAGAGAACUCGGGUGAAGGAACUAGGCAAAAUGGUGCCGUAACUUCGGGAGAAGGCACGCUGGUGUGUAGGUGAAGUCCCUGCGGAUGGAGCUGAGACCAGUCGAAGAUACCAGCUGGCUGCAACUGUUUAUUAAAAACACAGCACUGUGCAAACACGAAAGUGGACGUAUACGGUGUGACGCCUGCCCGGUGCCGGAAGGUUAAUUGAUGGGGUUAUCCGUAAGGAGAAGCUCUUGAUCGAAGCCCCGGUAAACGGCGGCCGUAACUAUAACGGUCCUAAGGUAGCGAAAUUCCUUGUCGGGUAAGUUCCGACCUGCACGAAUGGCGUAAUGAUGGCCAGGCUGUCUCCACCCGAGACUCAGUGAAAUUGAACUCGCUGUGAAGAUGCAGUGUACCCGCGGCAAGACGGAAAGACCCCGUGAACCUUUACUAUAGCUUGACACUGAACAUUGAGCCUUGAUGUGUAGGAUAGGUGGGAGGCUUUGAAGCGUGGACGCCAGUCUGCGUGGAGCCAACCUUGAAAUACCACCCUUUAAUGUUUGAUGUUCUAACGUUGGCCCCUGACCGGGGUUGCGGACAGUGUCUGGUGGGUAGUUUGACUGGGGCGGUCUCCUCCCAAAGCGUAACGGAGGAGCACGAAGGUUAGCUAAUCCUGGUCGGACAUCAGGAGGUUAGUGCAAUGGCAUAAGCUAGCUUGACUGCGAGCGUGACGGCGCGAGCAGGUGCGAAAGCAGGUCAUAGUGAUCCGGUGGUUCUGAAUGGAAGGGCCAUCGCUCAACGGAUAAAAGGUACUCCGGGGAUAACAGGCUGAUACCGCCCAAGAGUUCAUAUCGACGGCGGUGUUUGGCACCUCGAUGUCGGCUCAUCACAUCCUGGGGCUGAAGUAGGUCCCAAGGGUAUGGCUGUUCGCCAUUUAAAGUGGUACGCGAGCUGGGUUUAGAACGUCGUGAGACAGUUCGGUCCCUAUCUGCCGUGGGCGCUGGAGAAUUGAGGGGGGCUGCUCCUAGUACGAGAGGACCGGAGUGGACGCAUCACUGGUGUUCGGGUUGUCAUGCCAAUGGCACUGCCCGGUAGCUAAAUGCGGAAGAGAUAAGUGCUGAAAGCAUCUAAGCACGAAACUUGCCCCGAGAUGAGUUCUCCCUGAGACUUUAAGUCUCCUGAAGGAACGUU